CGAGGAAGAAAGCGCGAUGUCAUAGUGGAUGUUGAAUUAUUGUAUGUGGUGAUUAGCGUUUUCCCGUCCAUCUCGGCUGUCGUGCAGUGCGUCCUUGGUGACUGAUUGGCGAGGUGCAGGAUGCGUGAAGCAGCCGUCAGUGCCUGCGUCCGGCUCAACAUUUAUGGACCUCACGGAAAGAAGGAACAGUUUCAAUGGAAGAUUGAAAAGUUGGUGUUGUUGAGGGAGAGAAAAGUUUGAGGCGUUGCCGCAGGAGUGUGGAAUCAUAAUAGAAAGUGAAAAGUGAAAAGUGAAAAAUUUAAGUGGGCACAAACACAUCUAGUUAUUAAUAUAUUCUUAUUUUUCUUAUACUUAUUUUAUUUACUUAUAUUAUUUUUCUUAUACUUAUUUUAUUUACUUAUUGGCAAACAAAGUCGAUUGUCUUGAUAAGUAAUGGAUCAGGCGCGUUGUUACAUAAGUGUUGUGUUUUUCAACCAAUGUGAACUGAUGAGCUUGGUGAAGAGCAGUGACGUGCGGCCUCCAGGUGCACUGAGCUUGGCCUGUACUAGUACCUGAAGGAAUGGCUCUGGAUGUAUUGUGAUAAUCUGAAGGCCCACUGUUCUGACGCAGUGAUCAAACAGCACCUCUGAGCCUGUCUCAGAACACUGUUUGGAGCAGAUCUUGCCCUCAUCAUUCAUCAGCCUCCGUGCAAGCACUCCUUGUCUGGUAGGCUGGAUGUGCUGCGCCACCUCGCUGCAUCAAGGUAAUUGGUCUUUGGUUCCCUGACUCACCUGCUGCCUCACCUGCCACCUCCCCUUGUGACGCGGCCCGGUGUGCGUAGUGUGC